rnacentral:misc_RNA from 1 species
UCCUGGUUUCCUAGGCAGUCCUGCUAGAGUGCUUCUUGCGAAUCGCUACUAACAGCAGGGGUUGCGCUCGUUAAAGGACUUAACCCAACAUCUCACGACACGAGCUGACGACAACCAUGCACCACCUGUAUACCGACCUUGCGGGGCAUCCAUCUCUGAAUGUUUCCGGUAUAUGUCAAGCCUUGGUAAGGUUCUUCGCGUUGCGUCGAAUUAAACCACAUGCUCCACCGCUUGUGCGGGUCCCCGUCAAUUCCUUUGAGUUUCAGUCUUGCGACCGUACUCCCCAGGCGGGAUGCUUAACGCGUUAGCUGCGGCACCCGGGGACUAUAAAACCCCAGACACCAAGCAUCCAUCGUUUAAGGCCAGGACUAC